rnacentral:rRNA from 1 species
AAAGGGCCGCGGUAUACUGUCCGUGCGAAGGUAGCAUAAUCAUUAGUCUUUUAAUUGAAGGCUUGUAUGAAUGGUUGGACAAAAAGCAAACUGUCUCAGUUGUAAUAAUUGAAUUUAACUUUUGAGUGAAAAGGCUUAAAUAAGUUAGGGGGACGAUAAGACCCUAUAAAGCUUGACAAUAAGCCGAUUAUAUUAUAAAUUGCUAGUAUAACUUGAUUUUAAAUGGUGUUUGUUGCGUUGGGGCGACGAGAAUAUAAAAGAUAACUGUUCUUAUAAUAUUUAAUUACAGAAAUAGCUGGAAAAUUAAAGAUCCUUUCUUUAAGAUCAUAAGAUUAAGUUACUUUAGGGAUAACAGCGUAAUCUUCCUUGAGAGUUCAUAUCGACAGGAAGGGUUGCGACCUCGAUGUUGAAUUAAGGUAUCCUUAUAAUGCAGCAGUUAUAAAGGAAGGUCUGUU